GGGCACAUGCCCCCACUUAAACAUUUAUUUUCUCUUCUCCGUGCCCCCCCUCCUUCGACACUCCCCUUCUUUCUUUCAUUUCUUCUUUUUAUUUCUUCCUAACAACAACACUAAAAAUCCUCUCUUCUCUUCCCUUCUCUACUACAAUUCCUCAUCUCUUCUCCUUGCAUCAACCACCCUAUAUCAUCAAACUCACCUUUAUCAUCUUGCUUUCUUUUCUUCUCUAUUCUACCUCUUUUAUUCAAAAUCUUAUUUUCUCAAAACCUCCAAAUCAUGUGAUUUCAACUUAAUGAGUGAAGGAACCAUUCAAUCCUUGAGUUCCAAUUAUUAUUGAGACUUUAAGAGUUGUAGAAUUUUUGGACAUCAAUUGGUAGCUCGUUGACGCGCUCAGAGUUGCUUCCGGUUCUUUGGAAUCAAGUUAUACGGGAGUCAUUCCAGGUUCCAUUCCACCUGCUCCUCAGUAGAUCAUAGUCAUUUUGGUGAGCCCUUCUUCUUUCCAAGGGCUAAGUAUUAUGUAAUGGAACCUUUGCUCAAAAUUUAGAUUAUGUCAAUGCUCCAUAUGCCACAGGCAGGAUCCUCGUG